GGAUUUGGUUGUAGGUGAUGUGUCUUUUUACUUUCCUCCGUCGCACGGCAUUUUUGUUUUGGACAGGUGACCCUUUACCUUUUUAUGCAUCAGGAUACCGUUAUUGUUGUGCGGAACCUUUAUAUGUAUCUGUUUGAAAAAACUGCAGUGACUGACCAUCAUCUUUGUCCAUUUAUCUUGCUAUAUAAAUAUUUGUAAUUUUCACUGUUGUUUCAUAUUAUACAUAUGGGCUAACGGUGUUGGUUUCGUAGAGAAAUACAAUAUUUUCGUUGAAAUAAAAUCAUGUUAUGUGUUCCUUGACAUACUCUAUCAGGUAUGAUGCAGCCUGGAGACAAGACUUUGCAAGCUUCUGUACAUGCCAAUAGAGUUGGUAUAAAGGUGAAGAACUUCAAGGCCUUGUUGGUUUGCAAGGCGCUGGUUGUUGAUGCGAGCUUAUUUGGAGCCUCCAGAUUAUCCUGGGCAUCAUCAAAAGGAUGGCAGCAAUGGACUUUGUCAUGGAUCUGAGCAAAAAGAAGAGUCCUGGGGAGGUGAUUUGUAGGAAGGAGGCGACCAGUACUGGUCAAAACUGUUGUGUUUGGUAGAAUAGGUGCCAUUGAAUGUUACUCCCAGUUGCCUAUCAUGUAGGCAUUUUGAGGUAUUAUUUUGUGCUAUUGAUGAUAAUCCACUGUAUUAUAAUUAAUCUGUGUUGUAGAAGCUUUAGCUGAUCUGGUUUUGUAUCUUUCGAAAUAGAUUUGAAGAGGUUGCACAUGUUCUGUUUCAGGUACUCAUAGCAUCUACAGAGUGGGCCAAUAUUCGAAAAGAGCACAAGACUUGAGGAUUUGAGCAUGCUUGUAGGCUAGAAGCAUCACCUUCAGACUUCGUCACUUGUUGACAGUCUAAAAUUGACCCUGAACUGAUAUGGGCACUUGCUAAGCAAGAUGUCAAAGACAAGCACCAGCUGAAGAUGAAAUAGAAAAUACAGCCGGUAAAGGCACCAACGAAGGAAAACCUUC